UACGUAGGGUGCAAGCGUUAAUCGGAAUUACUGGGCGUAAAGAGCGCGCAGGCGGUCGUUCAAGUCGAGUGUGAAAGCCCCCGGCUCAACCGGGGAGGGCGGGUGCGAACUGGCUUGCUUGAGGGCGAUAGAGGAGUGCGGAAUUCCUGGUGUAGCGGUGAAAUGCGUAGAGAUCGAGGAGGAACGAGCCGGUAGGCGAAGGCGGC
rnacentral:rRNA from 1 species